rnacentral:rRNA from 1 species
UACGUAGGGGGCGAGCGUUAAUCGGAAUUACUGGGCGUAAAGCGUGCGCAGGCGGUUUGUCGAGUCCGAUGUGAAAGCCCCGGGCUCAACCUGGGAAUGGCAUUGGAAACUGGCGGACUCGAGUGUGGCAGAGGGGGGUGGAAUUCCGCGUGUAGCAGUGAAAUGCGUAGAGAUGCGGAGGAACACCGAUGGCGAAGGCAGCACCCUGGGCUAACACUGACGCUCAGGCACGAAAGCGUGGGGAGCAAACAGG